GUGAAAUUCCCACCAAGUUCAUCGAGGUUCAUACCAAAUGAACCCAUAGGGCUUGGAUGGAACCUUGGACAGCCAUCAGCGUGGACCAAACCAAAACCUGGACUGGCAGGCCCUCGGGGUUGAACAGUAGAUAAGAGGCACCAAGUAGAACAAAACAAAAUCUUUGUGAGGAUCACGCAAUUCAAAGCGUUUACGGGAAACCACAACAGCAAUGGCAACGUGACAAGAACAAUACUUGUCAUAGGAUAAGAUUGCAGGUGGGGGCCAAGCUGUUGUCAUUACAAAACAAGAAGCAAAAGGAGGUUUGCAGAAACAGGUCGGUGGAUUGUGUUCUGGAGACUUCUUUGUACUGGAUGGAAUUUAUGGAAGUUGAGUAAGGGAAAUAGUAAUGUGGGUCUUCUUUUCAAAAGAUAUUCAUAAUAGAAAGAAAAAUGUCCAGAAAACCAGGUAGAGAAGGUCGAAGACUUAAGCUGAGCUCACUGUUUCCUUCGCAAUCUGAUACAAUUCAAAUAAUCUCCUCAAUUUGGAAGGUAAAGAUUAAAACUGGGUUACUGGAGCAACCUCUGGAUUUACACCAUUGUGACAAUUUGGACCAAUAAAAGUGAAAACCUAUUGGUUUAAAUUUGUUAAUUUUUUUUUUUUUCAGUAGUUUAAUAUCAAAUUAUUUUUGCAGAGCUAAAUUUAUAUGGCUUGUCUGUAAGUGUACAAUCCCCCAAUUUUUUUUUUCAGAACAGGUAUACAUUCUCCAAUUUGCAAAUACACAUUGGUCACUUAAUAGGUAAACAUUUGCAGGGGUAGAACAUCAUUUUUCA